rfam:Dufourea novaeangliae contig1758, whole genome shotgun sequence.
UAAUCGGCCCCUUUCGGGGCCACCAAUGUUCGUAAUGUAAGAACA